UCUGAGUACGCACAACAGUACGGGUCAUCUUCCUGGGGACGGCACGGCAGCGCCGCCAUGAAUCAAGCCGCCGCGCGCGGCCGGUAUACCUUUCCCGCUACCCUCCAGCAGCGCGGCCGUUGCCCUUUUCUUCCCCUCCUCACCCGCCCCAACUCCUCACCCCCAGCCUCCUCGGCCUCAACGCGGACGUCUCCGAUUUGGAUAGGAUUCGACGCCGCCACGCGCGGCCGGUCUUCAUCUCUAGCUAUCCUCCAGCAGCGCCGCCGUUGCCCUGUUCUUCGCCUCCUCACCCGCCCCAACUCCUCACCCCCAGCCUCCUCCGCCUCGAGGAGGACGGCUCCGAUUUGGAGCUCAAGUACUGCCUCCUGACACCUCCAUCCCCAAGUACGUGCUCCCGUCAGACGAGGACGAGAUUUGGAUUGGGGCGCAACAGAGAUGAGGAAGGACAAAGCAUGAAUAGCUCCAGUGAGAGUGAACGGAUAUGAACACCACAACCCUCUCAGGGGUUGUUGGCUGAUCAGGAUACCCAAUUCUCAAACAAGCAUGCUGAGAUGCUCAAGAUAUGGAAGUUCGCCCACAAGCUCGACCACCAGGUUUUUUUGGUUCAUGUUCAAUGGGAGGCGAAUAGUGUAGAGAGGGUAUCUGAUGCAAGUCCAAGGUAAACAUUUGUUUCUUUUAUUGUGUUUAGGUGAACAUGUCAAAGGUGCAGAUGGACAUGAUGAAGCCGUGAAUUGUCACGCAAGUCACUGAGCUUCUUGGGUUCGAAAAACUACCUAACUGCUAUUAUCCUGAAUUUAGUUUUAUCUAAACUAAGAGGACCACAAGUGCUUCUCUAACAAAGAAUUACUCAUUUGGUGUUCUUUUGCACUGCUGAUUUUAGUUCAAAUUGGUGUCAGUGCGACCUUUUUGUCAUGUUGGAUAAGGCUUUCUGUAUCACAUGGAUGUGACCUGUAGUAUGGUGUAGAAAAGUGAUGAAAGGUAUUAGUUUGAAUUAAUUUGGCAGCAAUAGUUUAUCAAGUUUUUGCCAAGCCAGCUAUUUGUAGAAUUUCUGCAGCUGUACUUUGUGCCAUCUCCCUCAUGUAGAUAUAUAUAUACUAGCAGACUAGCACGUAAAUUAUUUACAUCAAAACUGAGACAUAUCUAUAUAUGAUGGAGGCAUUUCUUUCUUUAUAUUCAGCAGUACCUCUUGCUGCUAUAAAGAAAGUAGAAACAUGGUUGAUAAAUAAUCACAUUGUUCUGCCCAUUUUUCAUUUCACAAUCCAUUACAAUUGUUAUGUCCUUGCAAUCAUACCACUACACAUGACGCUUCCUAGAUCUGGAACCCAACCAAAGCACAAUCAAGUUUGAUUUGUGCUGUUAUUGGGCCUCGCUGCGACCCUGAUGUUUUUGGGCCAAGUUGGGCAGAAUCUGCUCAUGCUUAUAAUAAAACAAGUUUGUUAACAGAUUAAAUAGUCGCACCUAGCUUCUUACAGCUAAUUCUAUCAAGUUUUUUUAAAAAAAUUCUAUCAAUUUAUAUAUGCCUAUAAGUAUGAGAAUUAACAAGCAGCCUGAGAAUAAACUGACGGAGGGUGAGCUGUGUUUAGCAAAAAGUAUCACCUGGUUAGCGUAAUAAAUAAAAGGAGUUGGGGAUUGUUGGCUGCCAAACGAAAAAUCUCAGGAAGCCUAAAUAAAAGGGAUCGUGGGCUGCGAAUCAAAAAACCCUGUUUAGUAUAAAUAAAGGAAAUUGUGGGCUCUGAAAUGAAAAAUUCCGGUUGACAUAAAUAAAGGAGAUUGUGGGCUACGAAACAAAUAAUCUCAGUUGAGCACGAUUGUUGUAUGCUAAACGAAAAAUAAAAGCGACUGUGGUCUGUGAAACAAAAAAUAAGCAAAGGCCUCCCGGUUGGCAUAAAUAAAUGCUAUGAAACGAAGAAAAUAAAUAAAUGGGCAUGGUUGAACAAUUUCAGUAUUUUAUACUAAUACUAUUUUCAUUUAAAGGCUGAAUUUUGUCACCCCGUUGCAACACACGGGCAUAUGUCCUAGAAGAUAUUUGGAAUGCAGAGUUCAUGAAAACAAAUAUUUGUGCGGUCUAAAUAGUACUGUAUUUAGUUUUCUGGAAGGGUGCAAAAGGCAUACUGGGCUUCCUGUGUAUACUGAUUGCUAAAUGAUGCAAUAGUAUUUGUGCGGUGGGGGAGUGUCAUUCCCUGUGUUUACUGAUUGGCCUCACCCUCUUAAGAGAUCUAACCCUUGUCACCAUAAGGAAAAAAGCAAAGAGUAUUAUGACGCCAUAAAGUUUGAAUUCAGAGAAGUAUAUGCUGAAGAACACCAGAAUUAGUCUUCAUGAACCAUCAUCGCCUUGUUGAUGAUGCUUCACAUAGCGCCCACAAAUUAAACAACCUAUGAAAUGGCCAGAAGGGACCGGAUAUCCUACUUGUAUUUGCAGAGGAAUUCCGAACAGGCUUCAUUAAUUCAGUAAAGGCCUAUGUAGAAACAUCUAUGACUUCACUAGAGAGUGGAUCUGCACUCGAGGAGCAGCUCGAGCAGCUCUGCGCACAUGCCUAGACCUACUUUCCUGUCGGCGUUGUUGAUAUGUGUGUUCUGUAUCAUUCUUUACGUCUAGCGUGUGAUGUAAUCCAUUUUCAGACUUUUUCACCAGUGGAAGCAUAUAUUUUACGAGCUGAAUCAAUAGAUGUUCAUUGAGUUUCAUGUAAAAAGCGCAUGUACAUUCUCACCAAAAACAAGAAAGUGUGUGUGUGCCCGACCUUCUCCCGCUGCGACCUUGACCAGGAAGCACGUCAAACAGAAAUGCCAAUCUUUACACCAGCAUCAAGCCCCUAGAAAAGUCUAUCACCUGUAUCUUUGCAUAUCACCGAGAUGGAGCCAGAAGACAAUUUUUUUAUCUUUAGGUGUUAACUCCUUGUGACAGGUAUAUGUGAGUAUCAUCGUUGUGUAGAGAUAGAAAUAUUCACAUUAGCAAACCUUUAGCUUAAGGUGUGACUGGUACCCAAUUACUCUUGGUCUCACUAUUUUAUCUUUUUGCUGGACAUUUUACAUCUCUUUUGAUUACUAAGCCUUUUAUUUUCUA